CCCCCACGUCAGAAUUUCUUUGUAGAGUACUUUGAAGAAUAAUAAAAAAAAGAUGUCUGAAAAAGUUCUCAGUUUUUCUGCGUGUUUGCAGACAUGCCGAUUGUUUUCAGAGAUCAUAUUUUCAGCAUCUCAUUUAUGGGAUCAUGGUUUAUUUCAGUCUAUUGUUUGUGGAACAGCACAGAAGGGCAGUGAAGUCCUAGUGAAUGCUUACAAAUGAGUCACGCUAAGUUUUCUUGGCUCUCCCCCAUACUUGCGUCCCUGACGAAAUUUCUGCUAUGCUACACUGCUCUAAUGGAAGCCAAUUUGCCAUGAAAGUGUGAGUUGUUUUCGACUGGUGUCACUUCAUCUGAGACACCUCUUUGUCUGUUUGAAGGGAAGUGGAUGAAGAUCAUGCUGGUGAGCUCAGGUUAUACGCAGCUAUAUGAACCAUGUCUGUAAUUGAUUAUACACUCUAUAUAUGCUCCCUUCAGCAAAUGAGACCAACUUAUAGGGGCUUUUUAGCAGGAAGGCUGAGUGGCUGAGGCGGUGUUUGUUGACAAUGGGGCACUCUAAUGUGCAAUGCAGCAUGAAUGGGAUGGAAAAGUGUGACGUGCCCGUACCAUACCAGCAACUUCGGAUACCGAUGAAAGCUGAGCCCUCUCCCUCACUGAGCUCCACAUAUAUCCUCCAUCUUGCGCAUAUUCUCUGCUCUCCUUUUAGCUUGUCAUAAGUGACUAAGGAAUUUGAGGAAAAUCUUAUGUCAUAAACGAAUCACACAUACUGUCAGGAGUAGAACAUACUCUGGAUUACUUGCUAGGGGAAUGUGAAACUUUCCAGGUGUCUAACAUUACAGCUAGUUGACCUUUUGAUCUUUUGACAUUUUAAUGGCAAACAAAUCAAAUCUUAAUUCAUCGUAUCACUUUCACUUAUUUUAUUACCGCACGCCAAAAUACCGUACUCUGAUCAACCAUAACAUUUAAUCCGCCUGCCUUAUAUUGUGUAAGUCCCCCUUAGGCCGCCAAAACAGCUCGGACCCGUCGAGGCAUGGACUCCACAAGACCUCUGAAGGUGUGCAGUGGUAUCUGGCACCAAGAGGCUAGCAGCAGAUCCAUUAAUUAGUGAGGUGGGGCGUCCAUGGAUCGGACUUGUUUGUCCAGCACGUCCCACAGAUGCUCGAUCUUACUGAGAUCCGGGGAAUUUGGAGGCCGAGUCAACACCUUGAACUCUGUCAUGUUCUUCAAACCCUUCCUGAACCAAUUGUUGCAGGCCGCAUUAUUCCGCUGAAAGAGGCCACUGCUGUUAGGGAAUACUGUUGCCAUGAAGAGGUGUACUUGUUCUGCAACAAUGUCUAGUAGCUCUUCUGAGGGAUCGGAACAGACGGGCUAGCCUUCUCUUCCCAUGCACAUCAGGGAGCCCUGGACACCCCUGACCCAGUCGACAGUUCACUGGUUGUCCUUCCUUGGAUCACUUUUGGGGGACAGUCCAUGAUGUGCUGCUACCUGCCUGGUGCACACCUGUCGGCUCUGUCUUCUCCUCAAUAGCACCUUCACCUUAGAUCAUCUCCUCUUCCUUUACGCAUGACUGGUGCCUAGCUAUAGCAUAGAAAAAGGUGAACGCCGAGUGCCUCUUCCCUUUUCCUCUGGUGCUUUGAAGUAUAAAGUGUGAUUGCCGUUGGAUUGCAAAUGCUUUCCUUGAAGGCUUUGACAUGAAAAAGCAGCCCGGGCUCUCUGGUUUAGCCCAGCGCCAAUGAUCCGGGACUAAAGCAAUCAGCCCUGAUGACUAUAAGGAGAUACAAUUACCACAGGGAGAGAGUGAAGACGUACGGAAUCCACUAAACACUAUCGCAAUGCCAAGUUUGUCUUACAUCUUUCGCUUGAAGUCUGGUUGUUUUUAUGUUUUUUUGUUUUUUUAAUAUAUGUAAUUGAAUUGAAAAUCAAUUUGGUGAUCCAUUAAACAGCUUCAUUACAGUGUCCUCAGACUAACCUGGAAAUCAGUACAAUGUUCAUUUUGGUGUAAACCAAGACAGAGCAAAAGUUUAGCUGACUCCAAAACGGUCAUGUGACCCGUGGACAUAUUUCUAAUUCUCCUCAAUGGCUGAAAUGAUAAAUCAUCCUUUCUCACGUCCCUUAAACUUUUGAUUUUUAUCAGAGCUUUCACUUUUGUUUGCCUGUAACAAUUUAAAACACGCUUUCCCAUGACUCAAACUAGGGGUCAUGUCAUCUUCUGCCUGUACAUGCAUACUGUUUGCUUAAAUGUCACUCAUGGUGAUGAGUAUUAAUGGUUUUAUGCAUGGCUAGAACCCUGUGUCAUUUGGAUCAUGUGCUGGCACAUCUAGCCUGGAAUCUGACAGCCUGUACAUGGGCACAACUGGAAGAACAUGAAGAUCAUCAUCCAUCCAUCUUCUAUACCGUUUAUCCUUUUCAGGGUCACG